CGUCCUCCUAUCAUUGCCUUCUGAUUGCCGACGAAGUUUGAUGACGUGAGAAGACUUCCGAAAAUGAGCUCAGGAACGAAGACUUUCUCCACUUUGUGCUGGGUGACAGGAAUUCCUUUUCCGUUGUUGUAUACAGAGAUCUCGUUUUUC
ensembl:ncRNA K08E5.9 ncRNA